CAGCAUAACAGUGUGUGAACUGGACCGACCCUUUCAGCCUCACAGGAUCGUAAAGAAAACAAGAGGAGAAAACCCUAGUGGAAGAAGACCAAGGAGUCUUUGAGUGGGGCCCAGCUGUGCUGGACGUGAGAUGUGAGAAGAGGAGCCAGAUGACAACACUGCAUUUUGGUUUUGCAGCGUGUGCCAGGGCUCUGCACUCACACCCUCCUUGGCUCCCCACCUCGGCCCCUGGUAAAACUGUGGUUGUGACACUGCAGUCUGUCAAUCUGAAGGCUGGGAAGGUGCUCCCUGAAUUCCAAGAAGAAUCCAGCUAUUCCUUCUGA
rnacentral:lncRNA from 1 species